ACUAAUGAGAGUGGCGAACGGGUGAGUAACGCGUGAGCAACCUGCCUAUGACAGUGGGAUAGCCCCGGGAAACCGGGAUUAAUACCUGAUGAAACUAUCAAAUCACAUGAUUAAGAAAGUUAAAACUCCGGUGGUAAAAGAUGGACUCGCGUCCCAUUAGCUAGUUGGUGAAGGUAACGGCCCACCAAGGCAACGAUGGGUAGCCGGCCUGAGAGGGUGAACGGCCACAUUGGAACUGAGAAACGGUCCAAACUCCUACGGGAGGCAGCAGGG
rnacentral:rRNA from 1 species